UGUGUGACAGAACUAGCUGGGAGCCAAAGGAUCUAGGAUCAUCACAAGAAUGCAGUGAGGGAAAAGAAUUAAAAGCCCGGAGCUGAACCAACUGUUGGUUUCACCCAACUGCUGCUUCAAGUAUUAGAGAGCUGAGUAAUGUUAAAUUCUGUCCAAUAAGUUACCGUGAUCUUGGUGGUGGCACCAGGGCAGCAGAAUGAGCAGGAGGGCUUCCAAAUGCAGUGGGCCUGACUUACCACAUAAAGCAAGUGAUUUAAUAUAUAAUAUUAUAUGUCUUGAAAUCUGCCAUCGACAGGAUUCACACCCCAUGAGCUCUCAUAAUUUGUGUGUUAUGCCUGAGGCCUAGUUCCCUCUGUGGUGGUAAACCCAUACUUUGCAGAUGGCAGGAGAGGCCUCAUGUGACCAGAUGUGUCUUCAAAGAAAAAAUUAUAGCAAAUGAAGCAGUAAGAAGAAGUGCCUAGCCAGUUCUCCAUGUGCAUGUUUUUGGUUUUGGUAUGGAGAACAUUUCAGACAUGCGCUGUCAGGAGUGUGUGCAGGAGCCGGACCCUGUGACUGGUAGGGCCUCGCAGGACUGGGGCCUUCCUGAGCUUGGCCUGGAAGGGCAAGGCAUGGCCGCACAGGUGAGGCUUGACAGAAGACUUGUAGCACCUGUGGCAAGGGCCGGGAGGGGUAUAUAAGACCAGCAUUUCCCUCUGGCUCUUCGCCACGGCAACACGCUACCCACCUACUUGUGUUUCAGCUUUCUGACGCCGGAUAUCCUGACUCUUGGACCCUUAGCUUCCUGACCCCUGGACUGCUGAUUCCUGCUUCCCGACCUCUACCCCGGUCCUGACAUACCAAGCCGGGACUCCGACUGCCGUAACCCGGACCGUGACAUGCGCGCUCUCCAGCCUGAAGUUUGAAAUGGUACCAGUUUAUCACCUUGGUGAGAACUUGGCCCAAGAUGGCCCCCUUUGGCAAGGAACUAUUGAAACCUUUAUAAUCUGAUGCCAGUUGGGUAGAAUACGUGGUGUCAGAUGGCAGUUGACUCAUUGUACUAUUGGGACCAGAUUCUCAUACCUACUUCUGAUAAGGUCUAAUUGCCACAGACUAUUCUUAUUUUUAUCUUUCAGGUACAGCACCAUCACAAUCCUAGUGGUGGAACCAGCAGCUCCAUUCCUGUUCAUCUUGUGAUGCUCCAGCAUGCAAUUCAUGUGUGAUGUGAGGGGAUGUUGGAUAUUUUGUGUAAUACUACAUUCACAUGGCAUAAUGAAAAAACAAACACCAAGUCAAUAAAACUGCUAACACAUUUGGAAAGCUAAGCAGGGUCUGGUAUGGUUUCAAACUGGAUGGGGGAUGAGAUCCCUGCAUUGCAGGGGGUUGGACUGGAUAACCUUUGGG